CACAGUCAUUCGGCCACUCACUUACUCAGUCCGUGUUAGUUUGUCCCCCAGUACACGUUUGUCCAGCUCAUUUCGUAGAGGUGGAUCUAGUAACUUGGACAAUUGAUUUAUAAGCGGAUUCCUCGCCAUAUCGUUAUUGAAAGCUCGUUGUGCAUAAGGAUUGUGGAAGUGACAGUGCGUGGAAAUCGUGUGGUGUUGACAGGACAUAAGGGAUAUAUAAAAGUGAAGAGUUGUGAGGAUGUAAUGAUGUACGCCAACUCACAGUUGUAAAUGAAAAUGCUACAAAAACAAAAUUUCUCUUUUUAAAUUGCUAAUUCACAAAAAUUAUGCUGAGAUACCUUUAAUUGCUUAGUUUUCAAUGUUAUUUAGUAAUUUUAGCAUUAAAGCGAGUGCGCUUUUGAAGUGUCCGAGCUCAUUUUUUCAAGUGUAGAUAUUGAAGAUUGAAGAAGUGGUUUAUUUUUCAAUUAUCUUUCACUUGGCUUUGAGCUGAAAGUAUUUGCCAUAAUUACAAAUCUUUAUUAAAGCUAUCAUUUGCGUGCUUUGAAGAUGCGUUUUAACAUAUUGAACACUUUGCAACCCGCCCUUGUGGAGAAGACAUCUGUCUCUAGUUCUGAGCAGUACUCACUCUCAACACCAUUAAAGGCGUCAUCCCCACCUCCGCGUCUACAACGCCAAGUUACCAUAGAGGCAGAGCCUGAUUCACUCGAUAGUGUUAUCAGUAACCCACAGUCGUAUCCAAUAACAAUCGUACCAAAUCGGCCGGCAAGUUUCUAUGGCUAUCCGACAAAUGGUGGCAGAACUUUUAAUCGGCAGACAAGUUCCAGAUCGCGCAAUUUCCGGCCGGGCAGCAUGCGCAAAGUGCGUCGUCGCGCAGUCUUCAAAAAUGGCGAAUGCAACGUUUUGCAAAAAAAUCUGAUGCGUCGCCGUUUGCGCUUCAUGCAGGACCUCUAUACCACGCUUGUCGACUCACAAUGGCGCUGGACGCUGCUCGUAUUCGCGCUCUCUUUCGUACUCUCCUGGCUAUUCUUUGCUUUGCUCUGGUGGCUUAUCGUGUACACACACGGCGAUCUGGAGGAGAUGCAUUUGCCAGAAAAUCAAGAGGAAUCCGGUUGGACGCCUUGCGUUUCCGCUAUACACGGCUUCACUUCGUGCUUCCUCUUCUCGAUAGAGACACAACACACCAUUGGUUAUGGUGUGCGCACCACAUCAGAAGAGUGCCCUGAGGCUAUAUUUAUGAUGUGCUUCCAAUCCAUAUUUGGUGUCAUGACUUCUGCUUUCAUGGGCGGCAUCGUCUUUGCCAAAAUGACACGCGCCAAGCAACGCGCCCAAACGUUGCUCUUCUCCAAAUAUGCUGUGAUUUGUCAGCGCGAUGGCGGCUUGUCGCUGAUGUUUCGCGUCGGUGAUAUGCGGAAGUCGCAUAUCAUUGGCGCGGCCGUGCGCGCUCAGCUCAUACGCACACGCAGCACUAAGGAGGGUGAGGUGAUGUCGCAGCAUUUCACCGAGCUGGAAAUCGGUGCCGAUGAUUGUGGCUCGGAUUUGUUUUUCAUUUGGCCGAUGAUUAUUGAGCAUAAAAUCGAUGAGAAUUCGCCAUUUUACAGUAUGUCUGCCACCGACAUAUUGCAGGAUAAAUUCGAAUUGGUUGUGAUUUUGGAGGGUACUGUUGAGUCGACCGGCCAAUCGACGCAGGCACGUUCGAGUUAUGUGAACACGGAGAUAUUGUGGGGUCAUCGCUUUGAUCCGGUCGUAAUGUACAACAAAGAUUUGCAGGCUUACGAAAUUGAUUAUUCGCGUUUCAAUGAGACAACACAAGUGGAUACGCCGCUAUGCAGCGCGCGAGAAUUGAAUGAGAUCUACAAGAUUCAGGAGGGCUUUAGGACGCCAGAAACCACAUUCACCGCGCGUCAGUUGUCCACCAACCACUCCGAUAAUUGAGAAAUAGAAAAAUUAAUAAUAAUUUCCUUACAUACAUACAUACAAAAUAAGUGCACUUCACAUUGCCAUCAGUAUACGUACCACGAGCACAUCCAUAAGAGAAAAUAUAAAUAUCGACUUGUUGUUUUUUAAUAGUGUGUAUUUGUGUGCCCUUGUAUUUGUUAAAUAAAUGUACGAGUAAAUGUACUGACAAAAAAGCUUAAAGUAAAAUUGUUGCUUAAUAACAUCUCGAACCACUUAGUAACGACUUAGAUAUGCACAUUUAAAAAUAAAUAAAAUAGCGGCAAAUGGUUUGGCAAACUUAAAAAUACACCUGUAAUCCGCUGCAAUCAUCCCAUCGCCGUUGUCCUGCAUUUGUUUUGUCCAACUACAUGCUUCGCAAUCCGCUGCUGCGCUGCGUUUCAUAUGAGCCUCAGUGUCGGGGUCUGAGUUCGCUGUCGCCAGAUACAAAACUUCUUAAGCAU